rnacentral:tRNA from 1 species
CGGCGUUGUGGACCGGAUUGACCUGGCCGCCCGCCAGCAGCAGGCGCUGGCCGGGAUUGCCUAGGACCUCGUGUGCGAUCUCGACGCUGUUGG